rnacentral:rRNA from 1 species
AGGGUUCGAUUCUGGCUCAGGAUGAACGCUGGCGGCGUGCUUAACACAUGCAAGUCGAACGGGAUCCAUCAAGCUUGCUUGGUGGUGAGAGUGGCGAACGGGUGAGUAAUGCGUGACCGACCUGCCCCAUGCUCCGGAAUAGCUCCUGGAAACGGGUGGUAAUGCCGGAUGCUCCAGUUGGAUGCAUGUCCUUCUGGGAAAGAUUCAUCGGUAUGGGAUGGGGUCGCGUCCUAUCAGCUUGAUGGCGGGGUAACGGCCCACCAUGGCUUCGACGGGUAGCCGGCCUGAGAGGGCGACCGGCCACAUUGGGACUGAGAUACGGCCCAGACUCCUACGGGAGGCAGCAGUGGGGAAUAUUGCACAAUGGGCGCAAGCCUGAUGCAGCGACGCCGCGUGAGGGAUGGAGGCCUUCGGGUUGUAAACCUCUUUUGUUUGGGAGCAAGCCUUCGGGUGAGUGUACCUUUCGAAUAAGCGCCGGCUAACUACGUGCCAGCAGCCGCGGUAAUACGUAGGGCGCAAGCGUUAUCCGGAUUUAUUGGGCGUAAAGGGCUCGUAGGCGGCUCGUCGCGUCCGGUGUGAAAGUCCAUCGCUUAACGGUGGAUCUGCGCCGGGUACGGGCGGGCUGGAGUGCGGUAGGGGAGACUGGAAUUCCCGGUGUAACGGUGGAAUGUGUAGAUAUCGGGAAGAACACCAAUGGCGAAGGCAGGUCUCUGGGCCGUCACUGACGCUGAGGAGCGAAAGCGUGGGGAGCGAACAGGAUUAGAUACCCUGGUAGUCCACGCCGUAAACGGUGGAUGCUGGAUGUGGGGACCAUUCCACGGUCUCCGUGUCGGAGCCAACGCGUUAAGCAUCCCGCCUGGGGAGUACGGCCGCAAGGCUAAAACUCAAAGAAAUUGACGGGGGCCCGCACAAGCGGCGGAGCAUGCGGAUUAAUUCGAUGCAACGCGAAGAACCUUACCUGGGCUUGACAUGUUCCCGACAGCCGU